AUACUUGAUCAAACUGAUCUUUAAUUAUUCAUCAUAACACUUGUCUAUCCGAUUAAGCAGAAAUAUAAGAUAUAUAAGUUAUUCAAAUAACACCUGGAGUUCUGUUUCCAGCUGCCACCGUAUCCUGGACCGUCAUGUUGUAAACCCUCGGAGUUGCUUUCGUUGGGUUACUGGUUGAGUUUGGUCCUGAAAUUGCUAAUGUCCCACUGCUUCUCCC
rnacentral:lncRNA from 1 species